CCUACGGGAGGCAGCAGUAAGGAAUAUUGGACAAUGGACGCAAGUCUGAUCCAGCCAUGCCGCGUGAAGGAUUAAGGCCCUCUGGGUUGUAAACUUCUUUUAUAGGGGACGAAAAAAGGGCUUUCUAGCUCGACUGACGGUACCCUAUGAAUAAGCACCGGCUAACUCCGUGCCAGCAGCCGCGGUAAUACGGAGGGUGCAAGCGUUAUCCGGAUUCACUGGGUUUAAAGGGUGCGUAGGCGGGCAGUUAAGUCAGUGGUGAAAUCUCUGGGCUCAACCCGGAAACUGCCAUUGAUACUAUCUGUCUUGAAUAUUGUGGAGGUGAGCGGAAUAUGUCAUGUAGCGGUGAAAUGCUUAGAUAUGACAUAGAACACCGAUUGCGUAGGCAGCUCGCUACACAUAUAUUGACGCUGAGGCACGAAAGCGUGGGGAUCAAACAGGAUUAGAUACCCUGGUAGUCCACGCCCUAAACUAUGAUUACUCGACAUAUGCGAUACACUGUAUGUGUCUGAGCGAAAGCAUUAAGUAAUCCACCUGGGAAGUACGACCGCAAGGUUGAAACUCAAAGGAAUUAGACGG
rnacentral:rRNA from 1 species